rnacentral:rRNA from 1 species
GAUGAACGCUGGCGGCGUGCCUAAUACAUGCAAGUCGAGCGAACAGAUGAGGAGCUUGCUCCUCUGACGUUAGCGGCGGAAGGGAUAGUAACACGUGGAUAACCUACCUAUAAGACUGGGAUAACUACGGGAAACCGGAGCUAAUACCGGAUAAUAUAUUGAACCGCAUGGUUCAAUAGUGAAAGACGGUUUUGCUGUCACUUAUAGAUGGAUCCGCGCCGGAUUAGCUAGUUGGUAAGGUAACGGCUUACCAAGGCAACGAUGCGUAGCCGACCUGAGAGGGUGAUCGGCCACACUGGAACUGAGACACGGUCCAGACUCCUACGGGAGGCAGCAGUAGGGAAUCUUCCGCAAUGGGCGAAAGCCUGACGGAGCAACGCCGCGUGAGUGAUGAAGGUCUUCGGAUCGUAAAACUCUGUUAUUAGGGAAGAACAAAUGUGUAAGUAACUAUGCACGUCUUGACGGUACCUAAUCAGAAAGCCACGGCUAACUACGUG